rnacentral:rRNA from 2 species
AGUCGACGAUGAAGCCCAGCUUGCUGGGCGGAUUAGUGGCGAACGGGUGAGUAACACGUGAGUAACCUGCCCUUGACUCUGGGAUAAGCCCGGGAAACUGGGUCUAAUACCGGAUAGGAGCGCCUGUCGCAUGACGGGUGCUGGAAAGAUCUUUCGGUCAUGGAUGGACUCGCGGCCUAUCAGCUUGUUGGUGAGGUAAUGGCUCACCAAGGCGACGACGGGUAGCCGGCCUGAGAGGGUGACCGGCCACACUGGGACUGAGACACGGCCCAGACUCCUACGGGAGGCAGCAGUGGGGAAUAUUGCACAAUGGGCGGAAGCCUGAUGCAGCGACGCCGCGUGAGGGAUGACGGCCUUCGGGUUGUAAACCUCUUUCAGUAGGGAAGAAGCGAAAGUGACGGUACCUGCAGAAGAAGCACCGGCUAACUACGUGCCAGCAGCCGCGGUAAUACGUAGGGUGCGAGCGUUAUCCGGAAUUAUUGGGCGUAAAGAGCUCGUAGGCGGUUUGUCGCGUCUGUCGUGAAAGUCCGGGGCUUAACCCCGGAUCUGCGGUGGGUACGGGCAGACUAGAGUGCAGUAGGGGAGACUGGAAUUCCUGGUGUAGCGGUGGAAUGCGCAGAUAUCAGGAGGAACACCGAUGGCGAAGGCAGGUCUCUGGGCUGUAACUGACGCUGAGGAGCGAAAGCAUGGGGAGCGAACAGGAUUAGAUACCCUGGUAGUCCAUGCCGUAAACGUUGGGCACUA